rnacentral:pre_miRNA from 1 species
CGGCUCCGCUGCGGCCUAUGGCUUUUCAUUCCUAUGUGAUUGAUGUUCCAAACUCAUGUAGGGCUAAAAGCCAUGGGCUACAGUGAGGGGC